UCUAGCAUUUAUCUAAAGAUUGUUAGAUUCUCUGAGGUAUUCAAAUCUGAAAAAGUGUUACAACCGAAGUUUGAGUUUCCAUUUCAAUCUCAUCUGAAAACAGAACAGGCUGUUCAUGUCUCUUUGCCAGUCGAGCUUGUUUGUUUCUCAGAUCCUGCUCAGCUAGGAGCAAGGAGCGGCGACCUGAGGAACUCACUCUUAAAUAGGAGGGAAGAAAUGGAUUUGAGGAGAGAAUAAAGGGGUGGAAUGUGAUAGAAACCUGUAGACAAAUAUAAAUCUGGAUGUGGGCAAUCCAUUCUGUAAAUUGAGUUUCUUUGGUUCUCAAUGAGUGUCUUAUUUCUUCCAAAAUACAAUUGAUAAAACCGUAUUUAUACGCAGUUUUUAUGUUAAUUAUCAAGGUUUUUGAUCGUGCCGUAAUGAUAUAA